GUGCCCUUUUAGGAUUGACACAGUGCCCUAAAAGGAUAAUACAGAAGGGUAAAGUAAGUCUCCAUUAAACCUAGAGGAGAUUAUAUAAAACUGCUCUUAGAAUUAUAGCUGAGAAAAAAAA